GACACGCUGGCGGCGUGCCUAACACAUGCAAGUCGAGCGGAGGUACAAUGAGAGCAAUCGAGAUGUACUUUAGCGGCGGACGGGUGAGUAACGCGUGAGCAACCUGCCUAUCACAGGGGGAUAAGGCGGCGAAAGCCGCUCUAAUACCGCAUGAGACCCUCAAAGCGAUGCAAUGGGGGUGAAAGGAGCGAUCCGGUGAGAGAUGGGCUCGCGUCCGAUUAGGUAGUUGGUAGGGUAAGGGCCUACCAAGCCAAUGAUCGGUAGCCGGCCUGAGAGGGUGAACGGCCACAUUGGAACUGAGAGACGGUCCAAACUCCUACGGGAGGCAGCAGUGGGGAAUAUUGGGCAAUGGGCGGAAGCCUGACCCAGCAACGCCGCGUGAGGGAAGAAGGUUUUCGGAUUGUAAACCUCUGUUCUUGGGGAAGAGGAGGAGACGGUACCCAAGGAGGAAGCCCCGGCUAACUACAUG
rnacentral:rRNA from 1 species